rfam:Parcubacteria bacterium GW2011_GWA1_36_12 TR98_C0017, whole genome shotgun sequence.
ACUCUGCUAACCGAACUGUCACCGUAUGGUGUGCGUUUCAGACUUACGUCUGAAUAGGUUGCAGGGUUGCU